AUUGCUUCUUGGCCUUUUGGCUAAGAUCAAGUGUAGUAUCUGAGAGGAUAGAGGACUUGAGGCUUUUUUCAAAAUCAUUUUCAAGGUUAUGUUCUCUUUUCAAUUAUCAAAUUGUUUCGAUUUUUUUGCCUGGAAAAAGUGAGCACAGUUAUC
rnacentral:snRNA from 1 species